rnacentral:lncRNA from 1 species
CGCAAUUACUCAGCAAGACUUACCCGACUAAAGAAAAGACUCCCAAGGGUAUGUUGGUUUGUCGGGAAUUAAGGUAAAGCUUAUCGAAUUUCAAAGACACGUUUUCGCAGAAAAGCUUACUAGUAGUGGAUCCUUAUGCCAAACUUUUACUUCACAAAUUAAGUAUUUUUCCUGAAUUUAGAUUUGCCUAAUCUAGAGCAUUCACUUGUCCUACACUAGCUUCAUUUUAGCAGCUUUAGUUUCACUUGUUAUCUACGAUGCAGGGCAGUGAUCCAGUCUUCAUAUCCGAGAAGUAACGGCGAUCCGAAUCGAUUAAUACUCAGCUGAGGAUCUCCAACCACACGAUAUAUGUAGCACUUAACCCUUGCAUAUGUCAACUCGCCCACGGGUUUCUCAAGACCAGAACGGGUUCACGCGACCCGAGAGCACAGCACUCCACCAUCCAGCCAUUGGCCUGGUUGGUACACGUUACUCUCGCCAUGGUGCCCGCCAUGUUUCUGAGAGUACAGCACCCCACCUUCCAGCCGUUGGCCUAGUUGGUACACGUUACUCUCGCCAUGGUGCCCGCCAUGUUUCCGAGAGUACAGCACCCCACCUUCCAGUCUCUUGCCACGGAGGGUACAAGCUACUCUCGCCAUCUCUCCACUCCCAGUGCGUGCGAGCUGUUCUGGUAUUGGUCCGACCGAGGCAAAGCUUACCCAUGAUGAGGCAUGUGGCCAGUUAAAGGGUCCUAGAUCAGCAGGCCAACAAUCAGAACUGUCCUUAAGCGACACAGACGGGCGACCUUUCCUGCUCAACGUCUAGUCUCAUCUUAUUAUUUAACACCCAAACCAUGUACCUGACAGAGGUACCAUACUUGAAUGAUGAAUUCAUCACUGCAGAUGAUGCGCUCACCAUUACAAGUCCUUUUUCAUAAAACAAACCCAUACCCAGUGUCACACAUCAUUCUUUUAAAAAGAAACAAGUUUUAAUUCUCUAGGCAGGGCUAAGCCUCAUUAGUUCUUUUUGUAAAACAGGUAUCAAGGAGGAUAAUCAAAUUCCAAGGAAUGGCAAUGCAUCAACUGUUUCAUCACUCAACUCCUAUCACCUAAUGCAGCAUAUAAGUGAUAAAAGUUUUAAAACAACAAGGAGGUGGCAAAUGCACCGGGGCUUGCCUGAAAUAAACACUAUGUUAGUGUUGUUAGAUGAAGGCCACUUGACGAUCAACUUUCGUUUUGACAUCCGCUUAGUCCAUCCAUCUUCAGGCUCAUUGGCCGACAUCGUCUUGUGGGUUGUUUUGAUCCACACCCUUCGCUUCGCACGAUUUUCAGCUAGCGUACCUAAUUAGAUGUACAAUGCACAUGUAUAAACAUAAGGAAGAAUAACACAACAUAUUACACACAAUAAAGAAUUAAGCACAAUGACGAGGCGCUGCAACACUUGUGAGAAAAUACUAGAUGCCAACAAAUGACUAAGUACAACAAGGACGGCCAUGGGUUCUAACCCAAACAUCGAGAAACUUUAAACGAAUACAAGUCCUAUCGUACUUAGGUAGAGUAUAAUACAAAAGAUUCAUCCGAUUAAAUUCACUAUAACUAGCUUCUAGGACUAACAUAUGGAGAGAAGCAAACUAACACAUUUAACAUAAUUAACCUAAACAGACUUAUCAGUUAAUUAUUGAAAUGCUACAUUUAUUUCUCGCAUUAUUAUUGAUACCACACAUCGCUCGUGCAGAACUAAUUUAGUUUUUACUUCAUAUUACUAAUUUCACCAUACUUACACAAAUCUGAAUAGUCGCAACUCAUUUACAUUCACCAAAGUAUUUACCUCCUCCUUAAUUCAAUCAAGUCUAAAGCAAACAUUUAGAAAGAAUGAACUGACCAUAUAUAACAAAGAAUUUGGAUAAACACUUCACAUGCAACAAAUUUUCAUCAAUCAAGGAUCAAGGAUUGACUAAUCCUUCCCAGGCAAACAAAAAUGACACCAAGGAAUCAGUUUAACACAUGCAGAUUUUCUAGACAGCAGCACAGUGGUUAACUGUUUUAUUCAUAACUUACACAAUAUUCAUCCAAAAAUAGUAAACUAAGACUUUUUGAAAAGAUUAUAAAGUCUUCUACAAUUUUGGUAUUAUCAUCACAGUGAGAUUUGACAUAUAGAAAUAUCAAACAGUACUAAACGCAAUUUCUGUUCAGAUUUGGACAGAAUUCGACUACUCGCUUCAAAAAUCCAUAACCGGAGUUUCAGAAAUCCAAAUCAGGUGAUCCUAGACUUUUUAGAAAGCUAGUAGAAUUGUCUACAAUUUAUUUGUAAACAUCUCAGGGUGAUUCAAUGUGUAUCGAAGUCAGUUAAUACAAACAAACAUUGCUGUCCAGAUUUGGACAGAUUCAGACAUCACAUUUCAAACAGCCAUAACCUGACUUCUAGAUCACCAAAAAGGGUGAUCCAAAUUUUGUUGGGAGGCUUAAGAAAAGUACUAAAAUUCUUCUAUAAUUACUAAAGACUGGUUCUCAUUUUAACUUAGCCAAAAAAUGCAAUUUUCGAAACCUGUCCAGAAUUGGGACAGAUUCUGAAACUGGACUUGGAAAAAUCAUAACUCCUAAACUACUAGUCCUAUGGUUAUGAAAUUUUAGCACAAGUAAGAUGAAGAGGUUAGCUACAACUUUUCUAUAUAACACUUUCACAGAAAACAUGAUUUACUUCACUCAAUUAGUUGCACAAUCAAAACUGUACGUGCAGGUUUGGACAGCAAUACCGUCAUCACUUAUUUUAACCAUAACCAUGAAUACAAUCAUGUCACUAUCCACGAAGAGGUAUCACCACUAACUCAUGAUGCAUAUAUAUUCACCAAACACAUCUAUUCAAUUCAUCUAACAAUUCAAUCAAUACUAAUAAUGAAUUAGCUUACCAACACUAAAUAGACUCAGAUUUCGCAAGAGCAACAAGGAUCUUCGGUUCAUCCAUUCCAUCAAACACCUAGAGCGCGUCGAACUGAAACACGGUUUCUUCUCCAUUGAUUUUCCCUAGAACUCUCUUCCAAUCUCACACAUAAACACAUAGAGUUUCACAAGCGUCAUGACAUGGACAACAAACUGAAAUCAAAAUACAACACGCAAGGUCUAGGGAAACAAUAAAAAGAUUCGGAGCUCACCACUUGACGAAAGGGAGGGGGCUGGCGCUUGGGCUUUCAUUCAUGGAGAACAAAAGAAAAAGGGGAAGCUGCUGCUGCAGAAUUAGAGGAGGGCUACUGCUCCACGGAAGAACAGAGAGGAGGCUGGGCACAGAGGGAGGGCGAGCAGGGGAAGGAGGUGCCAUGGCUGCUGGCGUGGGGAGAAACCAGGGAGCAGAGAGGGGCUGGGCGAGCUCAGUUUGGGGAGGAAGAUGAGGGAGGGGCGGCCAUGGAAACCUAGGGCAGUGGAGGGAGCUCACCAUGGAAGAAGCUGCAGACGGCCAUGGGAAGGAAGCACGGCGUGCUUGCAGCUGACAUGGGGAGGGACUCGGCUGGUGCAGCGGCCAUGGAGGCGAGGAGAUGGCUGGGCGAGCAGGGAGGGCGCGGCUGGCGAGCUGGAGCCGGGGAGAAACCAGAGCAAGGACAGCCGGCGUGGAGGCUAAGGCCGUCGGCCUGGGAAGAAGAUGGCGUGUAGGAGUUUGGUUGGGACGUGGCUGAUAAGCUUUGCAUCCUGGGCAUGCUGCGUAUGGCUGAGUGGAUGAGCUACGGUGGUUUCCAGGGAACAAACGUGUCUGAUGCUCAGAACAAUAAAGGGUGUGGUGGUUGAGGUUAAAAUCGAAGAAAUAUCUUCAUUCUCUUUUCCUCCACCAAGCAAUAUCUAAUUUACUCCACGAUUCUUAUUUUUGCACACCAACUAAUCCUAGAUUUAAAUCUUAAGACUAUGGCACAACUCGAUUUGAAUUUAAACUACCAAAGUUUUGAAUAGUUAGUAUUUGUCUAAAUUUUAAAUCCAAACAUACGCUAGUCUGAGUUAAUGUGGCACGAGCCACAAAAACCUAACAUAAGUUCUUGCGUUACGAUUUAGACGAAAAACAAAUAGACCGGAUUAAAACGAAAUUUAGGCUACACAUAAUAAAUUUUCAUAGCUACUGAAACAGAUUAAUUAUGAAUACUGGGUCCUGGCAGUAAUUAUCUCAGCCCUAUUUAAUUUUGCAUCAAUAUUGUUAUCGUCGAGUUCUAAUAAUAUUUGCUUGGGCCAAAAUCGCAAGAGUGAGUCGAGAUUCCAAAUUCAUGUUCUCUUAAUCCUUAAAUUUUGAAUAGACACCAGACUCGACAUAUCGCGAAAUAAAUACGCGAGAUCGAUGUGGCAUCGAAAUUGUGAUCCUUUCGGAAGCGAUGUCACGCAUCGUUCACGGGGCGAGAGGUUGGGCGCUGUCCAGACGCCGGUUAGCACCCGCCACACGCGUCACGAUGUCAGGCCACAGAGAGACACGUGCAACGCAAGCGUGAAAGAAUUUCAAAUGCAGUUUAAGAAACUAGAUCCGAUUUCCAGAAUUAAAGUUUGGGCAAGACGUUGAUGGCUUAACCCAAACGAUACUGGAUUCGAUGUUCCGAAAAUUACUGAAGUCUGAAUUUUUGCGAAAUAAUUUAGGACAAUUUAAACAGAUGGAGACAGACACGAUAUCGAAAUCGUGAUCGGCGAAGAUGAUUAAAAUUUAGUGUCCAUUUUAUUCACCGCUAUCACAUGUUAAAGUCUGCGCUCGUGGUCGAGCAGACGAUAAACACCUGGGGUGUUACAACCCUCCCCCUUAAAAGAAUCUCGUCCCGAGAUUCGGAACGAAAGACUUUUAAGAGUAGAGAAGCAUGUGACCCUUGUCCAUAUCAGCGAUAGCAUACAACUACUUUGGGAUGAAUCCAAUAUCACAUUCUUAAACAAGAGAUCACGCAUUUGGGUAGAAAUCCAUUUGGUCAUGUUGUUCAUCUGUUUCUUCAUGUGAGAUGAAAUGACAUGGUUUGGGAAUACAUAGAUUAAAUAAGAGAGUGAAUGAACAUACUCCUACAUCUCAGCAGCAGGGAAAAUCAAUUCCCCAUUUUGAAAACUAAUUAGCUGUCUUUCAACACUAAAAAGCUUCAAGGCUUCACCUUUACACAAAGGACGUAAAGGAAACUUGUAUGUGUAGUCACCACCAAAAUCAAGAGAAAAGAGACCACACAUGAAAGGGGUGAAUUUUUUUUAACACACGGUUAGACACAAAUAGGUUUUGAUUUUUGUUGGAGAUUUCUGAAUGGGUAGAAAAUUUACCAAGGAAUACAUUAGAGUUAUACACUCUUUUGAUCCAACAGUGAUGGCAUAUGUUGCUUGAUUGUUGUAGAAAACAACACAAAAAUCGUUUCAAGGGAGGAGUCAACGGAAGAUCACACAUUAGUGUAGUUCCACAAUGGAUCAUGACCAAAGACCUCGAUACCAGCAUGCGCCAAGCAGCAUAACCUUGCGUGUACAUUCACAAGGGGCUCUCAGUUUCGUCGCGGCACCAAAAAUCAUUAAUCGUGACACCAUUACCGAAGUCGCACCAAUAAUGAAUCUCACGGCGUAAGAACAAAAGUAUGCAGAGAUGACAUAUCGAUAUAGUCUAAUAAUGGAUUACAACUACUAACUGUGAUACCAGCUCGUGCCAAGUAGCGCAACCAUGUGCUGAUCACCCACAGGAGGCCCUCGGUUUCGUCGCGGCACCAUCAAUUUUAGUCAUAACGCCAUUACCAGACGUAACCAAUAAGAAAUCUCAUGCGGCACAAAUAGACUGAGCCAGGGUGACAAUAUACAAAAUAGACUCCAUUAAGAAUGGUUACAAGUAGAGAGCCAAAUAGAUCAUGGACCGAUGAAACGAACAAGACAUGGUCAAGACCUAAAUCGGUUGAUGAAGGGAGUACGAUAAGAGACUGUUAAUUCAGCCCCAAGCAUAUUUCUAUGCCCAUCGCAAAGAUUACAAGGUCGAUGAUUAAUGUCAGAUUAGAUAUAGAGGGGACACAAUCAUAAGACUAAAUUGAGAAGCCUUAGAGAGAUAUGAGAAAUCGAAGGCAUUAAAUUCAAGAAAAUAAUUGGGCACUCCUUUCCUAGGUUGGACUGAGAAAGCAACAAGGUGAUCCUGAUGGAGAUGCAAACUGACAUAGAGAUAUCAGCUUGCACCAACCGAACAAAGGUAUGUUUUAGGAUGAAAAUAUGACCAUAAGAGCUACAAGUUGGCUGUUAAGAUCAGGGACUCGAGAUAUUUUUUUAAGUUUGAAUGCAUCAUAGGUCCAAUAAGGGAAUUACCUAAACAUCUUUUAUAUGAGCUUGAUCACAAAGUAACGACGAAAAAAAUUCAGACUCGUCCACGUUUGGAAACUGGGGAAAAAUUUCAAAGAAUUUACAUCGAUUUGGGUCAUGGCUCCUAGAUGAGGACAUGGCCUAAUUUUGAGUUUAUGCAAACAUACCACCAACAUUCUAUCGGCACACAGGCACAAAAAUAAACAUAAGUUGCACUAUCGGUCAAACUAAGAAGAACCACAGACCACAUAAACACAUGUCUAAAGGACACCUCAAAUAAAGCUAGAAAUUUGCUUAUAGGACAGUCAUACUUCAAACAUUUUCCAAUUAUUUAUUAUCGAAAUAAAGAUGAGAAAAGCAUAUUCGUUUACAACCACCAAUUAUUAGAAUAAGGGCAAGAGAAGCAUAUUUGUGCACAAACAACAAACACAAUGCAACAAUCAGGAUGCAUGCUCGUCCUAUUCGUCCUCACGAAUUUUGCCAACUUAAUGUGGCAAUAGCGUUCUAUAUCGGUGGCAUAUCUACGUUCUCUCUCGAUAUGUUGCUAGUCGUCAGCUACACAUACGAGUUCGAAGUUAGUGUACCUGCAGAAAAUUCCAUCACAGCCCAAUUCCCAAUGAUGCAAUUCACACAUGACAGUUUAUCACAGUUUAUACUCCAUAUAUUUCUAUAUGGAGGCCAGCUCAUCAUUAAGCGUCGAGCCACGCAUAGGCGCCGCUGCCACACUUUAACCAUAGGGCAGCCCAUUAUGGUAACUCACCUUCUUACCUGAGCGUAGGUGCGUCGUUGCAAAGACAUUACACUUCUCAGUAUUCUCAUGUCUGUAUACCCAUACACAUCCAUGGGGUACUGAAUCCCAAAAAGUAAAUACUCCACAUCGCAGCCUUCAUAUAUACAUAUGUAAAACAUGUAUAUAAUCAAGCGCUUUUUAUACUCUCCCCUAGACCGACGUUUGUUCAGUCAUGCUCUCACAUCUCACCUUACCUUGAGCGUCGAUCCAUUCAAAACUGAAUGGCCUCAAAAAAAUAACAUUACACAUGUAUGCAUUCCCAGGUUGUGGGUUAGUAUUUUGAUCAAAGCCACCUGAUAGUCCUUAAUUUAGGGCUUAACAGAGGAUGUCACUAGCAUAAUAGUUUUUCAAAGCUAUUUUUCAAAGCCAAACAAUGUGUUUAGUUGAAAAUAGGUUUUCCAAAACCAAAAUCUUUGUUUUGAAAAUACGUAUGUGACCGUAUUAUACUUAAUCACGCUCCGAUACCAGCUGUCGCAGAACCUCCCAAGUUAUCGGGCCCACAUGCACCUGUCCUUGUCUCAAAGACCUCAGACAGCUAUGCAUGUGCACCAAACAACUUAACAGGAUCUGUCCGAGUGCCCCGAGGACCCCGGAUAAACGACUUACCGCCAAGAUCGCAAGAUUAAGUAAACACAAAUCACACACCAUCAUUUGCAGCGGAAAUAAAUUCUUUAUUGCAAAAUGAUUACAUGUUACAAUAAGUUUACAUUAUACAAUUAUCGGAGUGAUUACAAAAGAAAGUGAUUCAAAAGAAUUAUAAUUUAAAAUGUAUAAAAUAUUUAUAGUUUUUAAAAUACAUGCUAACUUAAGUGACAAUCCUCAAUAAAGAAGCUAAAGAUGGGAUAUACUUAUAUAAGAAGGCCGAGCCCAUCGGCACUUAGCACCAUCCACAACAGAACAAAAUUUCAACCUGAAAAACAACAGGGAAUAAAACCCUGAGUACGCAAUUACUCAGCAAGACUUACCCGACUAAAGAAAAGACUCUCAAGGGUAUGCUGGUUUGUCGGGAAUUAAGGUAAAGCUUAUCGAAUUUCAAAGACACGUUUUCGCAGAAAAGCUUACUAGUAGUGGAUCCUUAUGCCAAACUUUUACUUCACAAAUUAAGUAUUUUUCCUGAAUUUAGAUUUGCCUAAUCUAGAGCAUUCACUUGUCCUACACUAGCU